GCCAUGACAACCCACUCAGGAAAGUACCUAGGUGCCAGACUUAGAUGUUUUUUUUUUUUCUUUUUGGGUCCCAGAGGAGUACCAGAGUGAGUUCAUAAUUCUUUUAUUGCUACCUGGAGAGAAGCCUUUCCCACUCAGUGUUGCAUCCAAUGGCAGAUCAACACUCUUGGAAUGGUAUGCUAAUAUGCACCUCUUGGAACUUCUAUGCUCUGAUAAUGCAACCAACACAGGAGAAUGGCAGAAGAGCAGAGCUGGAGGCCUUCCCUUCCUUCCAUUUCUGGAGAGCACGAAGCAGAAGACUGACUCUGAAUCAUUCAAGUAAAACUGGGAAACCCUUCUUUACAAGUCUUUUGGUGGAUGAUCCCAGAAGAGAUGGAGGAGUGGGCUAUUAGGGAAAUGAGCUGAACUGAAGCCUGGCAUCAAUUUCGAAUUUACCCAAGUUCAAAUAACAUUUAGGUUGAAAGCUCAGUGAAAACACUGGUGAAUUGAAGCAACAAAGAGCAUAGGAGUUUAUUAUCAAAUAAAGAAUUCUACAACAGAAAAGGAAGUAUAGAU
rnacentral:lncRNA from 1 species